GGCAGAAUGGUCGAGUGGUCUAAGACGCUAGAUUCAGGUUCUAGUCCUUCCGAGGGCGAGGGUUCGAAUCCCUCUUCUGUCA
rfam:Nematocida parisii ERTm3 unplaced genomic scaffold supercont1.9, whole genome shotgun sequence.